ACGCUCGACACCUACUGGAGGCAGCGGUGGGGAAUAUUGCACAAUGGGGGAAACCCUGAUGCAGCAACGCCGCGUGAAGGAAGACGGUUUUCGGAUUGUAAACUUCUGUUCUUAGUGAAGAUAGUGACGGUAGCUAAGGAGCAAGCCACGGCUAACUACGUGCCAGCAGCCGCGGUAAUCUGAGCGGGCUGGCAAGGC
rnacentral:rRNA from 1 species